rnacentral:piRNA from 1 species
UGGCUCAAGAACUGACACAGGAGGUGU